rnacentral:rRNA from 1 species
AUUGAACGCUGGCGGCAUGCCUAACACAUGCAAGUCGAACGGCAGCACGGCAGUAGCAAUACUGUGGGUGGCGAGUGGCGGACGGGUGAGGAAUACGUCGGAAUCUGCCCAAUCGUGGGGAUAACUAGCCGAAAGGUUAGCUAAUACCGCAUACGACCGAGAGGUGAAAGCGGGGACCGCAAGGCCUCGCGCGAUUGGAUGAGUCGACGUCGGAUUAGCUAGUUGGUGGGGUAAAGGCCUACCAAGGCGACGAUCCGUAGCUGGUCUGAGAGGAUGAUCAGCCACACUGGAACUGAGACACGGUCCAGACUCCUACGGGAGGCAGCAGUGGGGAAUAUUGGACAAUGGGCGCAAGCCUGAUCCAGCAAUGCCGCGUGUGUGAAGAAGGCCUUCGGUUGUAAGCACUUUAUCAGGAACGAAAAGCGAUGGAUUAAUACUCUGUCGUGCUGACGGUACCUGAGGAAUAAGCACCCGCUAACUUCGUGCCAGCAGCCGCGGUAAUACGAAGGGUGCAAGCGUUAAUCGGAAUUACUGGGCGUAAAGCGUGCGUAGAUGGUUCAUUAAGUCGGAUGUGAAAGCCCGGCUGCACAUGGCAAGACUGCAUCUGAUACUGGUGGACUAAAAGUGUGGUAGAGGAUGGCGGAAUUCCCGGUGUAGCGGUGAAAAUGCGUAGAGAUCGGGAGGAACAUCCGUGGCGAAGGCGGCCAUCUGGACCAACACUGACGUUGAGGCACGAAAGCGU